rnacentral:RNase_P_RNA from 1 species
GAGUUGGCCGAGCAGUCGCUGUUUUAUUGCAAAAUAAAGCGGAGGAAAGUCCGGGCUCCAAUGGGCAAGGUGCCAGGUAACGCCUGGAAGGCGUAAGCCUAUGGAAAGUGCCGCAGAAAAUAAACCGCCUGAUAUUCUGCAAAGAAUAUUCGGUAAGGGUGAAAUGGUGCGGUAAGAGCGCACCGCGCUUGCUGGUAACAGCAGUGGCAGGGUAAACCCCACCUGGAGCAAGAUCAAAUAGAGAAGCAGACGCGUGGCCCGCGCGGCUUCUGGGUAGAUUGCUUGAGCCGUUAGGCGACUAACGGCCUAGAUGAAUGGCUGUUCUCGACAGAACCCGGCUUAUAGGCCAACUCUU